rnacentral:rRNA from 1 species
GACGAACGCUGGCGGCGUGCCUAACACAUGCAAGUCGAACGGAACGGCCUCUUUUGGGGGGUAAUCGAGUGGUGAACGGGUGAGUAACACGUGAGUAACCUGCCCUUGACUUUGGGAUAACUUCUGGAAACUGGGACUAAUACCGGAUAGGAGCUCCUGCUGCAUGGUGUGGGCUGGCAAGUUUCGGCGGUUGGGGAUGGAGUAGAGGCUUCUCAGCUUGCUGGUGUGGUAGUGGCUUACCCAGGCCUUGACGGGUAGCCGGCCUUAGAGGGUGACCGGCCACAGUGGGACUGGGACUCGGCCCCGGCUUCUACGGGUAGGAGAAGUGGCGAAUUGUGCUAUAUGGGAGGGAGACGGAUGCAGCAACGCCGAGUGCGGGAUAACGACGUUCGGGUUGUAGACCGCUUUCGCUCAUGACGAAGCUGUGUGUGACGGUAGUGGGUAAAGAAGCUCCGGCUAGCUACGUG